CGCGUCUACUUGUGCCAUUAAAUAGCACUUUACAUGAACCUCAAUCUAUCAACCUCCACCAUACAAUCCUAAUCCAGAUGGCGGUCUCAAUUAUCUCAGACUCUCUUCCUUUAUGAAGGUGAGAUGGUAUGAUGUCGAACGGAGUGGGUUGGUCUGGUCAGUGCGACUCCUUUAGAUUGCUUAGCCAUUUCUAUGUUUGUUGGUCAGAGUUUGUAGCUGGUAAUCUCAUCGAACUUGUUGACUUCCCUACGUUUACCUUGGUUGAUGUUGGAACAUUCAACGUGAAAAGAUGUAGAAGUCGAAGAUGUUGCAGAUAGUUACCCCGACGUCAACACAUCCGAUGACUAUGAGCCAUCGGAGACUCAAACUGAUUCGUCAGACGAUGAUAACUACGUCGAGGACAAGGGUAAGCUAGCUACUGACGAGUAUCCAGAGUUUGUUGUGAAGAUGACAAGAUCGCACUCUAUAGAUACCUUUCCGAUUUUGGCAACGCCAUGUAUUUCUUGGCCGAUGGGAAAACAUGGAAGAUUAUCCUCAGCCACAGCUCGUCCAAGGCUGGAGCGGUUUCAGAGACGACAAUCGUCUCGCCGUGGGAGUUCGUUGGAGUUUCACGUUGGUUGAUGCUGACGAUGUCCAAUUCUAUGUUUGGUUUGACCGUGCAUAGGGAGGCCGCAAUUACCUAAGUUAUCGUAGGUCCUACUAAUCUUUUGUAAUUCCUAGUUUAUGUCUUAAGGUGUGUACCAAAUUUUCAUGCUCACUUGUAAUGGUCACUAAAUAGACCUGCAAAUUUAAUCCGCUGGUUUCCGGUAUACCCGACCCCGACCCAAUACCCGACGGGUUUUGGGUACCAGAAACCCUAAAUUAUGGGUUCGGGUACGGGUUUGAGUAGUUAAUGUUAGAAUUUUUUAGAUUUAGGGUACCCGAAACCCGUAUUAGGGUACCCGAUUAAACCCGAUUAAUUAUGUAUUUGUGGUAAAUAUAUUUUAUUUAGUAUAGGUUGCUUUGACAUUUUAUUGUUCUA